rnacentral:rRNA from 1 species
UGGGGAAUAUUGCACAAUGGGCGAAAGCCUGAUGCAGCAACGCCGCGUGAGUGAAGAAGGUUUUCGGAUUGUAAAGCUCUGUCUUUUGGGACGAUAAUGACGGUACCCAAGGAGGAAGCCACGGCUAACUACGUGCCAGCAGCCGCGGUAAUACGUAGGUGGCAAGCGUUGUCCGGAAUUACUGGGCGUAAAGGGUGCGUAGGCGGAUAUUUAAGUGAGAUGUGAAAUACCCGGGCUUAACCAGGGCGCUGCAUUUCAAACUGGAUAUCUAGAGUGCGGGAGAGGAGAAUGGAAUUCCUAGUGUAGCGGUGAAAUGCGUAGAGAUUAGGAAGAACACCAGUGGCGAAGGCGAUUCUCUGGACCGUAACUGACGCUGAGGCACGAAAGCGUGGGUAGCAAACAGGAUUAGAUACCCUGGUAGUCCACGCCGUAAACGAUGAGUACUAGGUGUAGGAGGUAUC